rnacentral:tRNA from 1 species
GCCGCGGUAGCUCAGCGGGAGAGCGUCCGGCUGAAGACCGGAAGGGCCCGGGUUCGAAUCCCGGCCGCGGCA